UACGGAGGGAGCGAGCGUUGUUCGGAAUUACUGGGCGUAAAGCGUAUGUAGGCGGCUUCGUAAGUCGAGUGUGAAAUCCCAGAGCUUAAACUUUGGAACUGCAUUCGAGACUGCAAGGCUUGAGUAUCGGAGAGGUUGGCGGAAUUCCCAGUGUAGCAGUGAAAUGCGCAGAUAUUGGGAGGAACACCGAUGGCGUAAGCAGCCAACUGGACGAUUACUGACGCUGAGAUACGAAAGCGUGGGGAGCAAACAGG
rnacentral:rRNA from 1 species